rnacentral:rRNA from 1 species
CAGUAGCCGCGGGAAUACGAAGGGUGCAAGCGUUACUCGGAAUUACUGGGCGUAAAGCGUGCGUAGGUGGUGGUUUAAGUCCGUUGUGAAAGCCCUGGGCUCAACCUGGGAAUUGCAGUGGAUACUGGAUCACUAGAGUGUGGUAGAGGAUAGUGGAAUUUCCGGUGUAGCAGUGAAAUGCGUAGAGAUCGGAAGGAACAUCUGUGGCGAAGGCGACUAUCUGGGCCAACACUGACACUGAGGCACGAAAGCGUGGGGAGCAAACAGGAUUAGAUACCCCCGUAGUCCCUGUCUCUUAUAC